GACAGAGGGGGCAAGCGUUGCUCGGAAUUACUGGGCGUAAAGGGCGCGUAGGCGGGAUGGCAAGUCGGUCGUGAAAUCCCUCGGCUCAACUGAGGAUCGUCGAUCGAUACGGCCGUUCUUGAGGAUUGCAGAGGAGACUGGAAUUCCCGGUGUAGCGGUGAAAUGUGUAGAGAUCGGGAGGAACACCGGUGGCGAAGGCGGGUCUCUGGGCAAUUCCUGACGCUCAUGCACGAAAGCGUGGGGAGCAAACAGG
rnacentral:rRNA from 1 species